rnacentral:tRNA from 1 species
GCCUAGUUAGCUUAGUUGGUAGUGCGUCUGCCUUGUAAGCGCUAGGCCGCGGAUUCGAUUCCCGCCCGGGGCA